rnacentral:rRNA from 1 species
AGUGAACGCUGGCGGCAGGCCUAAUACAUGCAAGUCGAACGGCAGCACAGCAGAGCUUGCUCUGUGGGUGGCGAGUGGCGGACGGGUGAGGAAUACAUGGGAAUCUGCCCAGUCGUGGGGGAUAACGUAUGGAAACGUACGCUAAUACCGCAUGCGCCCUACGGGGGAAAGUCGGGGACCGCAAGGCCUGACGCGAUUGGAUGAGCCCAUGUUCGAUUAGCUAGUUGGCGGGGUAAAGGCCCACCAAGGCGACGAUCGAUAGCUGGUCUGAGAGGAUGAUCAGCCACACUGGGAACUGAGACACGGGUCCAGACUCCUACGGGAGGCAGCAGUAGGGAAUAUUGGACAAUGGGGGCAACCCUGAUCCAGCCAUGCCGCGUGAGUGAAGAAGGCCUCGGGUUGUAAAGCUCUUUUGUCCGGAAAGAAAAGCAUCUGGUUAAUACCCAGGUGUUCUGACGGUACCGGAAGAAUAAGCACCGGCUAACUUCGUG